rnacentral:ncRNA from 1 species
AUAAAGGCUAUGAUGGGGACGAGUAAAUCUUGAUAUGUUACCAGAGAGGGAAAUCCGUCGGCUGGAAGGUUUCCUUAACAUUAGAGAUUGAAAACCACCCCGAAGCUCCUUCCUGAAAUCUAUGAGAGUAGGGAAAGGCGUUGGCUGCGUUAAAGCCUUGAGAGGGUUUUUACCAAUUUGGGUGGAACCGCGGAAGUACAGGCCUUUCGUCCCAUGG